AUGGUAGAGUUCAAGAUAUGGUUGUGUGACUAUGCCAUUAGGAACCAUAGGCCGUUUGUUGUUGCUCAUUCAAAUAAAAAAGUUUGGUACACAGUCAAAUGUGACCAAGAAGGUUACAAAUGGAUGGUCCGCGGUAGAAAAAUCAAAGAAACCGGGCAAUGGGUGUUGAAGAGUCAUGUUGGCACUCACACGUGCGUACCAUCGGACAAGGUGGACCAAAGCAAAGGACACCAUCAACUCACAUCUGAGUAUCUAAUAUACAAAUUGUUGAAUCAAAUAGCACAUGAUCCAACCGUGAAGGUCAAGUUUCUCAUGUCUUCGAUUUAG
rnacentral:rRNA from 1 species